AUCCAGCUGACGAAUCUGAAACAGGACGAAACACGUGUCCUAGAU
rnacentral:hammerhead_ribozyme from 1 species